UACGUAGGGUGCAAGCGUUAAUCGGAAUUACUGGGCGUAAAGCGUGCGCAGGCGGUUAUGCAAGACAGAUGUGAAAUCCCCGGGCUUAACCUGGGAACCGCAUUUGUGACUGCAUAGCUGGAGUACGGCAGAGGGGGAUGGAAUUCCGCGUGUAGCAGUGAAAUGCGUAGAUAUCAGGAGGAAUACCGAUGGCGAAGGCAGGUCUCUGGGCUGACACUGACGCUCAUGCACGAAAGCGUGGGGGAGCAAACAGG
rnacentral:rRNA from 1 species